UACGGGGGGGGGCAAGCGUUGUUCGGAAUUACUGGGCGUAAAGGGUUCGUAGGUGGCCAACUAAGUCAGACGUGAAAUCCCUCAGCUUAACUGGGGAACUGCGUCUGAUACUGGCGAGCUUGAGUGCAGGAGAGGAACGCGGAAUUCCAGGUGUAGCGGUGAAAUGCGUAGAUAUCUGGAGGAACACCGGCGGUGUAGACGGCUUGCUAGACCAUAACUGACGCUGAGGCACGAAAGCGUGGGUAGCAAACAGG
rnacentral:rRNA from 1 species